UCGAUGUUCUUUCAUUUCGCAUUAACCCUUUCUCUGCCAAGGGGUUAACCAUUGACGAGUAAAAUCGUCUGGCGUUAGACGGAGUAAAAUUUAUAAGCGCUCAUUCGUCAGUUAAGGGGUUAUUGCA